UCUCAGUUCGGAUUGGAGUCUGCAACCCGACUCCAUGAAGCUGGAUUCGCUAGUAAUCGCGCAUCAGCCACGGCGCGGUGAAUACGUUCCCGGGCCUUGUACACACCGCCCGUCAAGCCAUGGAAGCCGGGAGUGCCUGAAGUGUGCAACCGCAAGGAGCGCCCUAAGGUAAAACCGGUGACUGGGGCUAAGUCGUAACAAGGUAUC
rnacentral:rRNA from 1 species